AUUGAACGCUGGCGGCAGGCCUAACACAUGCAAGUCGAACGAGUGGCGGACGGGUGAGUAAUGUCUGGGAAACUGACUGAUGGAGGGGGAUAACUACUGGAAACAGUAGCUAAUAACGCAUACCAUCGGAUGUGCCCAGAUGGGAUUAGCGAGUAGGUGGGGUAACGGCUCACCUAGGCGACGAUCCCUAGCUGGUCUGAGAGGAUGACCAGCCACACUGGAACUGGGACACGGUCCAGACUCCUACGGGAGGCAGCAGUGGGGAAUAUUGCACAAUGGGCGCAAGCCUGAUGCAGCCAUGCCGAGUGUAUGAAGAAGGCCUUCGGGUUGUAAAGUACUUUCAGCGGGGAGGCGUUACUCGCAGAAGAAGCACCGGCUAACUCCGUGCCAGCAGCCGCGGUAAUUC
rnacentral:rRNA from 1 species